GCCGAUGUAGCUCAGCCGGUAGAGCAACUGAUUCGUAAUCAGUAGGUCACCAGUUCAAAUCUGGUCAUCGGCUCCA
rnacentral:tRNA from 1 species